rnacentral:rRNA from 1 species
UACGUAGGGUGCAAGCGUUUGUCCGGAAUUAUUGGGCGUAAAGAGCUCGUAGGCGGCUUGUCACGUCGACUGUGAAAACCCGGGGCUCAACUCCGGGCCUGCAGUCGAUACGGGCUGGCUUGAGUGCGGUAGGGGAGACUGGAAUUCCUGGUGUAGCGGUGAAAUGCGCAGAUAUCAGGAGGAACACCGGUGGCGAAGGCGGGUCUCUGGGCAUUAACUGACGCUGAGGAGCGAAAGCAUGGGGAGCGAACAGG